AUUCUCUCUGUCUGCUGAUGUCCGUUUGCUACGUCCCUCCUACUCCUUCUGCAAUGGGAAGGAUCUCCUCAGCUGUCCCCACGGCAACAUCUGUGAUGUCAUCGGCCUGGUGGUGUUCUCUGGCCGGCCUGAAAGAAUCAGGAGCAAGGGUGGGUUACCAUGGUGACGAUGUUGAUGAUGGUCAGGGGCGGACAUAGUGAUUCAGAGGGCCCAGGCAGAGGCCAGUCGGACCCCCCCCCAUUUUUUUUUUUUUAAUGGGUUUUAUAAAAGAGACGUCAUUUAACUGUAAAAAUGUAAUGGGUUUUAUAGAAAAGACAUGUCAUUUAACUGUAAAGAUGUGUUACCUUUGAAUAUGCCAUGAACACGAUCAGUCAUGUCACUUCAAAAGUAGAUGACCUUUGCACACUCAUCCAAAACAAUUCCAGCAUCCCAACUGUGCACCCGCAAACUUUCCUUCAAUUCGCAAGUGGCUGAAACUAUCUCACCGGAGAAAGCAUCCGAGCGAGGGAAACAGCGCCGUGCUCUUUAUGAUACGAUGGCUACACAUACAGGGCCUUCAGAAAGGAUUCACACCCCUUGACUUUUUCCACGUUUUUGUUGUGUUAGACUGAAUUAAAAUUGAGUACAUUUAGAUUUUGUCACUGGCCUCUACACACAAAACACCAUAAUGUCAAAGUGGAAUUCUAUUUUUAGAAACUUGUAUCCAUAAAAAAGGAAAAGCUGAAAUGUCUUGAGUCAAUAAACAUUCCAGCCCCUUUGUUUAGCCUAAAUAAGUUCAGGAGUUAACAAGUCAUAUUUAUUUAUUUAACCUUUUAUUUAACUAAGCAAGUCAGUUAAGAACAAAUUCUUAUUUACAAUGAAGGCCUACCAAAAGGAGAAAGACCUCCUGCUGGGAUGGGGGCAUUAAAAAUAUAGAUAUAAAUACAGGACAAAACACACAUCACAACACAGCAAGGCAG